AGAACAAUGAAUUCCUUCAAGGCUCUGUGCAGACAUUUCAAACAGUGGAUACCAGACAGGCUUGGCAUAGCUUAGACUCAAUUAUAGCUAGAAUUAUUUUAUUUCUGGAUGCUGCAUCUUAGUCCAGGGAUUUUUAAAGUGUGGUUCCUGGAAGAGCUGGAUCAGAGUCAUCUGUGUUGAUGGUUUAACAUAAAGAUUUUCGAGCCCCAAGACUCAAGUAGGACAAGGAAUUUGAAUUUUUAAGCAGCUCACCUGACUUGUCUGUCCUCUAAUGUCUGAAGACAUCUGACCUCUGCUCUUUCAGUAAAAGCAACAAUGGUUUUAUGAGCAUUGUCGUCACAUCUCUCCACUCAAGGGAUCCUUCUCAUUUCUCCCAGCUGAGGUCACCCACAGCUGCUGCUUCUAACUGCUGGCUUCCAGCCUGCUGUCUGCCAGCUGGCUCUACCCUCUCCUAUAACACGGCAGAGAGUAGCUGUGGUCUCCUGCGUGCUCACCCUCUGCUCCCUUGGUCCUGCUCCAUGCUUUGGUCCUGCACUUAAAUUUUACAAGCAUACUCUCUUUCUCUUAAGUAACUGCCUGAAAAGCCAAGAAGUAGAGUGACGGGGUGGUGUUGAAGGUGGCAGACUGAUGAAGAUAAGGAGAAAUGAAUUUGGAAAAGGAGGGAGGAGCAAACCAAUGAAGAGUUGUAAAAACCAGAAAAGCAAUUCUGGAUUAGAUUUAGAAGUGGCAGAAUGACAAGGUGAAGUUUUCUAUAGGGAGAAAGUUGCUAGGUUGCCUCAUUUGAGACAGCCUGGAAUUUUUGAAAAGCGGAAAUUAAAAAAAAAAACUAGA
rnacentral:lncRNA from 1 species